rnacentral:lncRNA from 1 species
UAAAAAUCACCCGUUUGUGGAUUUUGGAUAUUUUCUGUUUGGAAUUUAGAAAAACUCAAAGCUACAAAGUUGUAGAGAAUUCGAUUUCAGGCAGAAUGGACAUAAAAUUCAUAUUUUUCUGAUAAAUGGACUAUUUUCUAUGAAUUAUUGAAGUUUCAAAAAAUAAAAUAAUUUUUAUUAAAUUUAUGGGUGGGACCCACUUUUGGUUUUUCA